GACGAACGCUGGCGGCGUGCUUAACACAUGCAAGUCGAACGGAAAGGCCCUGCUUGCGUGGGGUGCCCGAGUGGCGAACGGGUGAGUAACACGUGAGUAACCUGCUCUUGACUUUGGGAGAACUUCAGAAAACUGGGGCUACUACCGGACAGCAUCUCCCGCAGCAUGGUGGGCGGUGGAUAGUUUAGGCGGUUGGGGUUGGACGCGCGGGUUAUCGGCUUGUUGGUUGGGUAGUGGCUUACCCAGGGUUUGACGGGUAGCCGGCCUGGGAGGGUGACCGGCGACAUGGGGACUGAGGUACGGCCCAGACUCGUACGGGAGGCAGCGGUGGGAAAUAUUGCACAGUGAGCCGGAGCCUGAUGAGGCAACGCCGCGGUCGGAAUGACGGCCUGCGGGUUAUGAACCGCUUUCGCCUGUGACGAAGCGUGAGUGACGGUAAUGGGUGAAGAAGCACCGGCUAACUACGUG
rnacentral:rRNA from 1 species